UGGCUCAGAGUGAACGCUGGCGGCAGGCCUAACACAUGCAAGUCGAACGGCAGCACAGGGGAGCUUGCUCCCUGGGUGGCGAGUGGCGGACGGGUGAGGAAUGCGUCGGAAUCUGCCUUUUCGUGGGGGAUAACGUAGGGAAACUUACGCUAAUACCGCAUGCGACCCUGCACCGGGAGGUGCUGGGUGAAAGCGGGGGACCUUCGGGCCUCGCGCGGAAAGAUGAGCCGACGCCGGAUUAGCUAGUUGGCGGGGUAACGGCCCACCAAGGCGACGAUCCGUAGCUGGUCUGAGAGGAUGAUCAGCCACACUGGAACUGAGACACGGUCCAGACUCCUACGGGAGGCAGCAGUGGGGAAUAUUGGACAAUGGGCGCAAGCCUGAUCCAGCCAUGCCGCGUGAGUGAAGAAGGCCUUCGGGUUGUAAAGCUCUUUUGUUGGGAAAGAAAAGCUUUCGGUUAAUAACCGGGAGUUCUGACGGUACCCAAAGAAUAAGCACCGGCUAACUUCGUGCCAGCCGCCGCGGUAAUAC
rnacentral:rRNA from 1 species